CCUACGGGUGGCUGCAGUGGGGAAUAUUGGACAAUGGGGGCAACCCUGAUCCAGCCAUGCCGCGUGUGUGAAGAAGGCCCUCGGGUUGUAAAGCACUUUCAGUGAGGAAGAACGCCUGGUGGUUAAUACCCAUCAGGAAAGACAUCACUCACAGAAGAAGCACCGGCUAACUCCGUGCCAGCAGCCGCGGUAAUACGGAGGGUGCGAGCGUUAAUCGGAGUUACUGGGCGUAAAGCGCGCGUAGGUGGCUUGAUAAGCCGGUUGUGAAAGCCCCGGGCUCAACCUGGGAACGGCAUCCGGAACUGUCAAGCUAGAGUGCAGGAGAGGAAGGUAGAAUUCCCGGUGUAGCGGUGAAAUGCGUAGAGAUCGGGAGGAAUACCAGUGGCGAAGGCGGCCUUCUGGACUGACACUGACACUGAGGUGCGAAAGCGUGGGUAGCAAACAGGAUUAGAUACCCGUGUAGUC
rnacentral:rRNA from 1 species